rfam:TPA: Bos taurus chromosome 14, whole genome shotgun sequence.
UACCAGGUGGCUCAGUGGUAAAGUAUCUGCCUGCUAAGCAGGAGAUGCAGGUUCGAUCCCUGAGUUGGGAA